GUUUCAGCAAGAGCCUCGUUCUAUGGCUUCAGGUUUUAAAUCUAACAGCUUACAUACAUUUAUUUUUUUCCAGACAACUUGCAGGAGCAGUGGCUUGUGGGCCGUGGGUGGAGAAGACGGGCAAAGAUUUUGAUCCAUUUCCACUUCAAACAGAUGGACAGAGCUGUGGGAUCUUCAUGCUUAUGUACGCCCUCUGCAUCUGUACUGGUACCCAGUUUCACUUUUUGGACAGGGACAUACCAUCCAUUUGCAAGUGGUGGUGUCUCCAGAUUCUGGAGAAAUUCUCAAUCUCAACUUGUGAUUCACAAG